ensembl:lncRNA novel transcript
AGCAGAGCCGAUGCGGCGUCCCGCCUCCUUGCCUUCCCUCUUAGGACCAAACUCCCAGCUGGGGCCUCGGCGUCUGACCGCCAAAGAGCGGGUGCCUGGUUCCUGCGGAGGCUGCCGGGCGGGUGCCGAGGUUGCCGAGAUGCGGGAGGUUUGAACACAAGGAUGGGACAGAGGCGAGGAUCGGGGCUCCUGGGUGGCAGCGGCGGUAACCUGGGCUCCAGGGUAACGGAGGCGGAGGCCUAGACUGCACUACGAAGAGACCGCAGCCAAUCAUGAUGACUCUACCCGAGCUCCCAUUGGCUUCUGUCUCCAGACGGCCCUUUUUAUUGGCUUCAGUGGAACUGGAAGGCGGGACGGCGAGUGCGGGAGAAGGUCUCCAUUGGCCGACCGCUCUAGCUGUAGCGGAGACCCCCAAGUAGGGAAAUUGGGGCAAAACGCGGAGCGCUCCAGGCUCCUACGGGCUGUGCGGUGCCAGGGCUCGACUGCUGAGCGUCGUGGGCUCCGAGAGGGACGCGGGCGGAGGGCAAAGUGGGUUCAUGAUAUGAAUUGUAAAAUUGGCGACUGCGUAAUGUAAAACACUUAACAAUUGCUUAGAUUUCCUUUGGGAAAUAACUUGCUUUUAAAUUGUAAACAAAUUACAAACAAACUGCUAGUG